rnacentral:rRNA from 1 species
UACGGGGGGGGCAAGCGUUGUUCGGAAUUACUGGGCGUAAAGGGCUCGUAGGUGGCCAACUAAGUCAGACGUGAAAUCCCUCGGCUUAACCGGGGAACUGCGUCUGAUACUGGAUGGCUUGAGUUCGGGAGAGGGAUGCGGAAUUCCAGGUGUAGCGGUGAAAUGCGUAGAUAUCUGGAGGAACACCGGUGGCGAAGGCGGCAUCCUGGACCGACACUGACGCCGAGGAGCGAAAGCCAGGGGAGCAAACGGG